CUCACACUAAUAGACAGUGCUAUUCAGACCAGCUAACAUCCGCAUCCAGUAUUUAGUGGCAGUUUUCAUAGCCCCAUCACACUGUUUGUGUCUAAUACAUGCAUCGCUUGAGGUAGAUUGGGAAGUGGAACUGGCCUUCGUGAUCGGACGGAGAGGAAAGCACAUCAAGGAAGAAGAGGCCCUCUCCUACGUGGCGGGCUUCACAGUCGCCAAUGACGUCAGCGCGCGCGACUGGCAGAUGAAACGCAAUGGAAAG